UACAGAGGUCCCGAGCGUUGUUCGGAUUCACUGGGCGUAAAGGGUGCGUAGGUGGCAGGGUAAGUCGGAUGUGAAAGCUCGGAGCUCAACUCCGAAAUGGCAUUGGAAACUACCCAGCUCGAGGGUUGGAGGGGGGACUGGAAUGCUUGGUGUAGCAGUGAAAUGCGUAGAUAUCAAGCGGAACACCAGUGGCGAAGGCGGCGUCCUGGACCAACACUGACACUGAGGAGCGAAAGCCAGGGGAGCAAACGGG
rnacentral:rRNA from 1 species